AUUGGAGUUGUAUAUUACUUCCCUUUGAUUGUAAAUUUGAAGGAUUAUUCAAGCAUUGGGUUUCCCGCUGUUUUUAAAUAUAAUUGCUGUCAUGUGACAUUGUGACCACUCUCAGGUCAGAUUUCAUUGUGAGAAGUUGUAGAAUUAUACAUUUCUUCUUUACAUUUAUCUCUAUUUUAAUUAUUAUUGAUUAUUCCUGGAAAUUGAGGAUUUAGUUAGAGCACUGUGUGAGCCAGAAGAAUUGAUGAGCUGAUGAGAUUGAUAUAAGUUGUUUGUAUUCUUGUAUGUAUGAAGACCUGAUCCACAAUUGGGCUUUGAAAAUAUAUACAGAAUAGAACCAAAUCAGGUGUUGUUAUAUCAGAACCCAGGUCUACUGAAUUAUUGCUGGCUGGGGCCAGUUAGGUCCAAUUCUUAUUAUUAGGGCUGGAGCCCACCUGGUCACACAA